GUAAGGUUUUUACAUACAGUAGUACAUAUUACAUACGUACAUAACUUUUUUUACAGGAAUUUCCAACCAAGUUUGAUUAUGUACAUAUGUACAUGUUAUAAACCACUGUACGUAUGGUUACUGUAUGUAACUUACUAAACAUACAUAACAUGACUUAACUUUGAUACUUUUUUGGUACAUUCCAGAAAACCAGGACCCCCUCCAUGAUGCAGGCUAUGGGGCCACAUAAAACUUUGUCCAGGGUUACUACAUAACAUAAAGAACCCCCUGAAUGAUGUAGGCUAUGGGGCCACAUAAGACUUUGUCCAUCCAGGGUUACGAUGAAUGCAAAAUUUAAACUAAAGAACCCCCUGAAUGAUGUAGGCUAUGGGGCCACAUAAGACUUUGUCCAUCCAGGGUUACGAUGAAUGCAAAAUUUAAACUAAAGAGCUACCAGACUGGGAUUUUAGUGUACUCCAGGAUCUAACAAAUACAUACGUACUACUACGAAGUGUGCAGUGCAUAAUAUAUAGUGUUUAGUGUAUAAUCUAACCUAAGGAUUAAGUGUAGUACAUUGUGCUUUUUAGUGUCACAAGAGUUUAAUAAAGAAUUAUACCUUCAAGAACCAUCCUUUGCCAUUGGAAUAACCACACUACACAUCAUGCAAUCUACUUGCAUGUCACACAGGUAAGGUCUCUAACUUUUUCUUAGUUUAAGGCAUAUUUCCAAGUGUCGUUCCGGCUUACGACGAUUUUCGGCUUACGACGCGCCUCAAGAACGGAACCCCCGUCGUAACCCGGGGAC